rnacentral:rRNA from 4 species
CAACUUUCAGCAACGGAUCUCUUGGCUCUCGCAUCGAUGAAGAACGCAGCGAAAUGCGAUAAGUAAUGUGAAUUGCAGAAUUCAGUGAAUCAUCGAAUCUUUGAACGCACCUUGCGCUCCUUGGUAUUCCGAGGAGCAUGCCUGUUUGAGUGCCAUG